CCCACUUAAAAGUCUAUUUGAUCUCAAUAAGGACUUUGAUCCAGUAUGUGUGUUUUCUGUUAUUCAAUCUCUACUUUCUCAGCAUGCAGAUUUUGAUUCUCUUCAGGUGCAUACAGGCAUCUAGCCAUGGUCUUAAUUGUAAUCAUUUGAAAUACUUUUCUCUUUUUUUCUUUCUCCUCUCUCUCUUCUUCUCUCUCUCUCCUUCCCUCUCUCUCUCUCUCUCUCUCUCUCUGGCAGCUGGCAGUAUUGGAUCUUCUCAGUCCUAAGCAGAUGGCUGAGUUGAUGGUUCUGCCUCUCCCUCAUCCCCAAGGCAAAGAUGAGGUCAUCAACAGAGUGCUGGAUCACCUGCUGGAGUCACCAGUGGAGCGGAACCUUCCAGAAGUUCUUAUUCACGUCAUCGUCCUCUCCAGACAGCUUGAAGUACCUUGUGAGUUCUAUCAAGCAAUAAUCCCGAGGCUGAGGGGAUCAUUGACAUCAGUACCAGGAGAUCUGGAGCCAAUCAUCAGAUCAGCUGUGGAAGAACUGCUCCUACUUACUCCAAUAGGUCAGUACAACACACACACACACACACACACACACACACACACACACUAACACACACACACUAACACACACACACAAACACACACACAUGCUUACAUGCAUACAUACAUACCUACCUACCUACAUACGUACAUACAUACAUAUCUACCUACCUACCUACCUACCUACCUACAUACAUACAUACAUACAUGCUGUAAAUACCUGCACACAUUAUAAGACAUAAACACACACAAACAUAGUCACGUGCAUACACACACUAUUUUUGUCUAUUUCAUUUUGUCAUUGGU
ensembl:lncRNA